UUUUUCAUUUAGACGUUUUACAGCAUUCCAGAUCACCGUUUUUCCCUUGUUUUAAAUCAAAGUUUAGGAAUUAGCAUUGGUUCGUUUGACUAUACCCGGAUGUGCCCCUUGGCAUUCUCGUCAUAUUUAGGAGUCAUUUUACAUCAUGCGCGCCUCUGUAAGCGUCAGGUCAUAGCGUUUUGCACGAUAGCGACUCGGAAUACGCCGUCGCCUUGACUAUUUACAUGCUAUUUACAUCACUUGAAGCCUUUUAUGGUACUUGGCUUUCUUUAUGCAGAUUUAGCAUCAAUCUCCUCGUUCAAGUCUACCCACCUCUGUAAAGGAGAGCCUCGUGAUAAUGGCAAGUCCAGAUGAAGUCGAAGAAGUUCUAAAAAGAAUCAUAAACCACCCUGGAGUAACUGGCUCUAUAAUAACCAACCCAGAGGGCGUUGCAAUCCGCUCGACAAUGGACAACUCCACCACGCAGAUCUACCUCUCCAACAUCCAGAGUAUGACUCAAAUGGCGCGUAGUGCCGUGCGGGACCUGGAUCCUCUUAACGAUCUCAAAUUCCUGCGCAUUCGCUCGCGCAAGUAUGAGAUACUUGUUGCCCCAGAAAAUGACUAUACUCUGAUUGUCAUCCACUCCUAUGAUGCUAAGGAUUGAGCUCAGAGAGCUGGAGUAAAUAAGUUUAGAAAAUAUGAGCAAAAUAUGAUCGAAGACAUAAAAAGAGGGAACAGAGAGACUUGAUUUUUGUAGGCAAGUUAUGAUUACGGUUGCCGGAGCCCUGCGUUUCGAAAGGGCAUAACCGUGACGUGGGCGUAGCCAUGAUACUUGAUUCGGGAAUUUUACUCAUAGGAAAAUUUAUGAUAAUUUAUGAAAAUUUAUGUCGGAUUUAUGACUUUCAUUUGAGUAUGUCACCAGCCCAAUUUCUAUUUAUCCUUUGGCAUUUGCUAGAGAGGGGGCGGACGCCGAAAAUAAGUGGUUAAUGAUGUGACGUCAUCCAAAACCCUCUCCUCGUUCUCAGAUCUCUUCGCUGUGCGGCGGAACAACAACAAAAAAAAAAACAAUUGUGUUUUUUAUCUAAAAUUUUAUUUCGACUUACACUUGAGUAAUCAUCCAUGCAAGAGCUAGACAAAGUCUCAUUGUCCUGGGGCAAAAAGCUUAAUCAUAGCUUUCCCACAUUAUAGGAUCUUAGUUUGUAAUAAACAUAAGAUUGUAAGUCCCAUUGUCCUGGGGCAAAAAGCUUUAUCAUAGCUUUCCCACAUUAUAGGAUCUUAGUUUGUUAUAAACAUAAGAUUGUAAAA